rnacentral:rRNA from 1 species
AUUGAACGCUGGCGGCAGGCCUAACACAUGCAAGUCGAGCGGAUGAAGGGAGCUUGCUCCUGGAUUCAGCGGCGGACGGGUGAGUAAUGCCUAGGAAUCUGCCUGGUAGUGGGGGAUAACGUCCGGAAACGGGCGCUAAUACCGCAUACGUCCUGAGGGAGAAAGUGGGGGAUCUUCGGACCUCACGCUAUCAGAUGAGCCUAGGUCGGAUUAGCUAGUUGGUGGGGUAAAGGCCUACCAAGGCGACGAUCCGUAACUGGUCUGAGAGGAUGAUCAGUCACACUGGAACUGAGACACGGUCCAGACUCCUACGGGAGGCAGCAGUGGGGAAUAUUGGGCAAUGGGCGAAAGCCUGAUCCAGCCAUGCCGCGUGUGUGAAGAAGGUCUUCGGAUUGUAAAGCACUUUAAGUUGGGAGGAAGGGAAGUAAGUUAAUACCUUGCUGUUUUGACGUUACCAACAGAAUAAGCACCGGCUAACUUCGUG